rnacentral:rRNA from 1 species
CCUACGGGAGGCAGCAGUGAGGAAUAUUGGUCAAUGGGAGAGAUCCUGAACCAGCCAAGCCGCGUGAGGGAAGACGGCCCUAUGGGUUGUAAACCUCUUUUGUCGGAGAACAAAACCCGGGACGUGUCCCGGACUGCGUGUAUCCGAAGAAAAAGCAUCGGCUAACUCCGUGCCAGCAGCCGCGGUAAUACGGAGGAUGCGAGCGUUAUCCGGAUUUAUUGGGUUUAAAGGGUGCGUAGGCGGUCCGUUAAGUCAGCGGUAAAAUUGCGGGGCUCAACCCCGUCGAGCCGUUGAAACUGGCAGACUUGAGUACAGUAGAGGUGGGCGGAAUUCGUGGUGUAGCGGUGAAAUGCUUAGAUAUCACGAAGAACUCCGAUUGCGAAGGCAGUUCACUGGACUGCAACUGACACUGAGGCUCGAAAGUGUGGGUAUCAAACAGGAUUAGAUACCCUUGUAGUC